ACACGACUACAUUAGAUACCCGGGUAGUCCUAGCCGUAAACGAUACUCGCUAGGUGUCGGCCACGGUGCGACCGUUGUCGGUGCCGUAGGGAAGCCGUGAAGCGAGCCACCUGGGAAGUACGGCCGCAAGGCUGAAACUUAAAGGAAUUGGCGGGGGAGCACCACAACGGGUGGAGCUUGCGGUUUAAUUGGAUUCAACGCCGGAAAUCUUACCGGGACCGACAGCAACAUGAAGGCCAAGCUGAAGACUUUGCCGGAUUAGCUG
rnacentral:rRNA from 1 species